GAUGAAGAACGCAGUGAAAUGCGAUAAGUAGUGUGAAUUGCAGAAUUCAGUGAAUCAUCGAAUCUUUGAACGCACAUUGCGGCCAUAGGUAUUCCUUUGGCCAUGCCUGUUCGAGCGUCAUUUACACCCUCAAGCCUAGCUUGGUGUUGGGCGUCUGUCCCGCCGUUUUCGCGCGCGGACUCGCCUCAAAGUCAUUGGCGGCGGUCGUGCCGGCCCCCUCGCGCAGCACAUUUGCGCUUCUCGGAGGCCCGGCGGAUCCGCGCUCCAGCAAGACCUUUCACGACUUGACCUCGGAUCAGGUAGGGAUACCCGCUGAACUUAAGCAUAUCAAUAAGGGAGGA
rnacentral:misc_RNA from 1 species